GGGCGACUAGCUCAAUUGGUAGAGCAUACGCUUAGCAUGCGUGAGGUAGAGGGAUCGAAGCCCUCGUUGUCCA
rnacentral:tRNA from 1 species